UGCUGAGAGCUCUAGCGUUUACAUUACCGACUAUUUCAAAGUGACAGCCUGAGGUGUUCUUCAGUAAAUUGGACUACCGGACAGGAGAACCUGAGGCCCCAACGCAAUAUUUUCGGAUGCAGCAGCAGACUGAACCAGGACUGAAACCUGCUCCAUCAUCUCAUCUUUGCAGAUGUCCAUUUAUAAAGCAUCAACAACUCAAAGGAGCUGCCCUCAGAUUCUGACCUCAGCACCACCCAGUGACAGCAGACAGAUCAUCC